rnacentral:rRNA from 1 species
AUUGAACGCUGGCGGCAGGCCUAACACAUGCAAGUCGAACGGUAACAGGAAGAAGCUUGCUUCUUUGCUGACGAGUGGCGGACGGGUGAGUAAUGUCUGGGAAACUGCCUGAUGGAGGGGGAUAACUACUGGAAACGGUAGCUAAUACCGCACAACGUCGCAAGACCAAAGAGGGGGACCUUCGGGCCUCUUGCCAUCGGAUGUGCCCAGAUGGGAUUAGCUAGUAGGUGGGGUAACGGCUCACCUAGGCGACGAUCCCUAGCUGGUCUGAGAGGAUGACCAGCCACACUGGAACUGAGACACGGUCCAGACUCCUACGGGAGGCAGCAGUGGGGAAUAUUGCACAAUGGGCGCAAGCCUGAUGCAGCCAUGCCGCGUGUAUGAAGAAGGCCUUCGGGUUGUAAAGUACUUUCAGCGGGGAGGAAGGGAGUAAAGUUAAUACCUUUACUCAUUGACGUUACCCGCAGAAGAAGCACCGGCUAACUCCGUG